GCCUGGAUGGCUCAGUCUGUUGAGCGUCUGACUUUGGCUCAGGUCAUGAUCUCACAGUUCGUGAGUUCAAGCCCCACCUCAGGCU
rnacentral:tRNA from 1 species